GUGUAUGACGACCAAAGUUGGUUUUGGCGCUUGUCUGUGAAACAAGUUUUCGCCGGUUCAAUUCCGGUCAUUCACC
rnacentral:tRNA from 1 species